AGCAACGGAUCUCUUGGCUCUCGCAUCGAUGAAGAACGCAGCGAAAUGCGAUAAGUAAUGUGAAUUGCAGAAUUCAGUGAAUCAUCGAAUCUUUGAACGCACCUUGCGCUCCUUGGUAUUCCGAGGAGCAUGCCUGUUUGAGUGUCAUGAAAUUCU
rnacentral:rRNA from 2 species